CGAAAGCCUGACGGAGCAAUACCGCGUGAGGGACGAAGGCCUGUGGGUUGUAAACCUCUUUUGUUGGGGAAGAUAAUGACGGUACCCAACGAAUAAGCAUCGGCUAACUCCGUGCCAGCAGCCGCGGUAAGACGGAGGAUGCAAGCGUUAUCCGGAAUUAUUGGGCGUAAAGCGUACGUAGGCUGUUUUAUAAGUCUGUUGUCAAAGCCCGAGGCUCAACCUUGGAUCGGCAAUGGAAACUGUGAGACUAGAGAGAGAUAGGGGCAGGAGGAAUUCCAGGUGUAGCGGUGAAAUGCGUAGAUAUCUGGAAGAACACCAGUGGCGAAAGCGUCCUGCUGGAUCUCAACUGACGCUGAAGUACGAAAGCUAGGGGAGCG
rnacentral:rRNA from 1 species